CAAUAGCGUAUAUUAAAGUUGUUGCAGUUAAAAAGCUCGUAGUUGAAUUUCGGGUCCCCGCGCUCGGCGCUUCAUUGUGCCGUCGUGGUGUCCCUCCUCGCCGUAAGGCGUCCUUUACUGUGAAAAAAUUAGAGUGUUCAAAGCAGGCUUUCGCUUGAAUACAUUAGCAUGGAAUAAUAAGAUAGGACUUUGGUGCUAUUUUGUUGGUUGAGCCUAAAGUAAUGAUUAAUAGGGAUAGUUGGGGGCACCUGUAUUGCGUUGUCAGAGGUGAAAUUCUUGGAUUUACGCAAGACAAACAGCUGCGAAAGCGUCUGCCAAGGAUGUUUUCAUUAA
rnacentral:rRNA from 1 species